rnacentral:rRNA from 1 species
GGGCGUGUGUGCCGUGUCGUGUUUGUCAUCCUUCCAGAGAGCUGCGUCUACCAUUCACUUGGCCGGACGUACGCGAUCUGGAUCGAUUACUUUGAAAAAAUUAGAGUGUUUAAAGCAGGCUUACGCUGUGAAUACAUUAGCAUGGAAUAAUAAUUUAGGACUUCGGUUCUAUUUUGUUGGUUUCUAGGACUGAAGUAAUGAUUGAUAGGGACAGUUGGGGGUGCUAGUAUUCCGCGGCCAGAGGUGAAAUUCUUGGAUUCGCGGAAGACUAACUACUGCGAAAGCAUUCACCAAGGAUGUCUUCUUUAAUCAAGAACGAAAGUUGGGGGAUCGAAGACGAUCAGAUACCGUCGUAGUCUCAACCAUAAACUAUACCGACUAAGGAUCAGUGAACGUUGAUUUACGACUUCAUUGGCACUUUGUGAGAAAUCAAAGUCUUUGGGUUCCGGGGGGAGUAUGGUCGCAAGGCUGAAACUUAAAGGAAUUGACGGAAGGGCACCACCAGGUGUGGAGCCUGCGGCUUAAUUUGACUCAACACGGGGAAACUUACCAGGUCAAAACAUGGGUGGGAUUGACAGAUUGAGAGCUCUUUCUUGAUUCUAUGGGUGGUGGUGCAUGGCCGUUCUUAGUUGGUGGAGUGAUUUGUCUGCUUAAUUGCGUUAACGAACGAGACCUUAACCUGCUUACUAGACGCGUGCUGUACAGAAGCGCGCGCUCUUCUUAGAGGGACUAUGCG